rnacentral:rRNA from 1 species
AGGAUAGAGGCCUACCAUGGUGGUAACGGGUAACGGGGUGUUAGGGCACGACACCGGAGAGGGAGCCUGAGAAACGGCUACCACAUCCAAGGAUGGCAGCAGGCGCGCAAAUUACCCAAUCCCGACACGGGGAGGUAGUGACAAUAAAUAACAAUACGGGGUUCUUUCGGAUCUCGUAAUUGGAAUGAGUACAAUUUAAAUCUCUUAACGAGGAACAAUUGGAGGGCAAGUCUGGUGCCAGCAGCCGCGGUAAUUCCAGCUCCAAUAGCGUAUAUUAAAGUUGUUGCAGUUAAAAAGCUCGUAGUUGAAUUUCGGGGUUAGUAGGUUGGUCAUGCCUCUGGUAUGUACUGAUCUCACUGAUUCCUCCUUCCUGAUGAACCGUAAUGCCAUUAAUUUGGUGUUGCGGGGAAUUUGGACUGUUACUUUGAAAAAAUUAGAGUGUUUAAAGCAAGCUAACGCUUGAAUACAUUAGCAUGGAAUAAUGAAAUAGGACGUUCGAUCCUAUUUUGUUGGUUUCUAGGAUUGACGUAAUGAUUAAUAGGGAUAGUUGGGGGCAUUAGUAUUCAAUUGUCAGAGGUGAAAUUCUUGGAUUUAUUGAAGACUAACUACUGCGAAAGCAUUUGCCAAGGAUGUUUUCAUUAAUCAAGAACGAAAGUUAGGGGAUCGAAGACGAUCAGAUACCGUCGUAGUCUUAACCAUAAACUAUGCCGACUAGGGAUCGGAUGA